AAGGUCCAGCCCUAUGUCGCGACAUGUGCAAGCUCAGCAGGGGCUGGAUUGGAGCCGCACUCAGACCUGCGCCGUGGCUGGACAAGAUGAAUCUCACCAGCGGCCGCUAUCCACCACCAGUGACCACACAGCCGGACGGCGAGGUGCAGCGGCGACCCAAGCCGCCGCCCGCCGAGCUCCCGCGCGUGCCGAGCCACCCAGGCCACAGCUGAGCCAGCGCAACCCGCGGGCGCAGCCGCUGCCAGAUCUGGGCGCGCACAAACACAGCCGCCGGCAACAUCGCAGCCACCCCCCGCCGUAGAGCCACCUGUACGAGCACCUGGCCAGGCGUCGCCGCCCCACACUCAGAUGCCACGUCAUCGUGCCCCCUACUCGCACGGCACCUUCGCCGGCCACGCCAUCCCGCGCCACAUGCGGCCACACGGUGAACAUCCCCCCCGAAAACAGAGAACAUCCUUUCCCAUCUCCGGCAGGUCUCCUCCAUCUCCCGCUCCGCCGCCUCCUUCUCCCCUUGCUCCGGUUAUUUGUCUUGGAUUGGCACAUCCCUGUAGACCAACUGAUGCUGCACCAUGUCUGACAUGGACUUGGUUGCUUACAUAAACGAGGAGAACAAAAGAAGAAAGAGGAGACGGAUAGUUUUGACCAAUGGCGAUCAUGCCCAGAAUGGAUGGAAGUCCCAUGUCUACAGUGCUGUUAUAGGUAAUGUGCAUGAGAAGUGCUCUGUGACCAUCACAAAGGAAAACAUCAGUUCAAGGUGCAAAACCUUUGAAAAUCACUACGAGGCCAUUAGCAAGAUGCUUUCUCAAAGUGGAUUUGGGUGGGAUUGGAUCAAUAACAAACUGUCAAUUGAUAGUGAAGAUGUGUGGCUUAAAUAUGUCGCGGCUAACAAGAAAGUAGGAUUUUACAAGAACAGGGUCAUUAAGAAUUGGGAUGCUAUCACCACCAUAUACUCAAAAGAUCAUGCAAAUGGUGAAGGUGAUGUCACUGGUGCCGAAACUAUUGUAGAACCAACUACGGAACCCAAUGAAGCCUCUCCUGAAGUGCCACAAAAAAACAGCGAACCGGUGAUGCCAUCAUGUGCCUUCUUGGGGAUAUGAAAGGCUCAUUUCAUGAUGCUUUGAAGUCACUCGAGCCUUUACCUCUGCCCCAAGUUACACCUCCUGCUGAAAUCAUUGCGACACUUGAGAUGAUCCCUGAUCUAGCUCGUGGUGACAUAUUGCGAUCUUAUGGUAAAUUGAUCCUUAGCGAACGCUUGUACCAAGCGCUUCUUGAGCUUCCCAUGAACUUCAGGAAGGAAUGGCUGUUGAUGUUGAAUUAGUAGAAUGGCUCUUGAUGGAUAAUAUGUAUAUAUGUUGCUACUUUUAGUUCUCCUAGUUUGUGAGAGACUUCUAAACUUGUCCUAAAGUUGCAUUGUUAUGCACAAGACUUGUUAUGUGUUCUGGAUGGUGUGAGACAUAUAAUAUGUAAUGUUGUUGGCAAGGUUAUCAUUAUAUGUUGCUGUUGA